AGUGGUCCACAGGUCCCGAGCACGUCAGGGUUAGCUGGUGGCAGCGAGGUCUCUUGUUACUAGCUCCUGGACAGCUUGGCAGCCAGCGGGAGUGUGGAGAGGAUGGAAGGAGAAGUUAAGUUAUCAGAAAUAUCAACAAUGGUCUACAUGAGCACUGUGCUUUUGUUAUAGGGCACGUCCCAAUUUGCUUUGUCAGGAGCAGGAGGGAAGUUUUUCUUGUCCACAUUUCUGUAUGGGGAAUUUGGAAACAGAAGGAGGCCUUUGUCUAACUGGGAGGCUUCCAGGGGCCAGCGCCUCCUCCUCAAGUGGAGUAAGUACUUUUCCUCACUUCCCCUUAUUUUCCUCAAUUUUUGCCUCCUCCAUCUUUUCCUCUAUCACGUUUCUCCCACUGGCCUUCUGUUGUGUUUUCCGUGGCACGUGGCACACGCAUUUGCUGUCGCUUCUGUCCCCAUUCUGCUCCCUUUCCUCUCCACCAUCACUCUGAUGACCUCCUGGGAACCAGCUCCUUCACCCCUGCUGGUUCGGGUUCCCUUUCUGGCUCGCUGGGCUCCCUCGCCUCCUGGCCAGGCACUGCUCCAUCAAGUGCCAGGCACAGCUUUUCAGUGGUGGCUGAGGACUGCUAGCGCUGUUAGCUCCGGCCAGUGCUCAGCCUUCUAAAGGGGCAAGAUGUCACCUAUCACAGCUCUUCAUUUCAGUGAAACCGUGGCGCUUGGGGUCCUUGGCUCGCUCCUUCUUGUUUCUCUCUUCAGGGUCUCCCCUGGUGCUGUCGGGGUACAUCUCCCGUGGAUGGCCUCGAGCCUCGCAGAGGGACCCCAGCGUCCGUGUCACUUCCCAGCUCAGCCGUGAACCUCUGCCGUGGGUGGGCGAGGAGGAGCACCUGGAAGAGGGGGCUGAGACAAACUCCGCUGUCCCCUGGGAUAAGGCAGCCACCCGUCUUCUCCGUGUGGCAGAGCAGCAGCAGAGAGAAAGACCACACGCGUUUCCCUUCUCAUUCAAGGCAUCUGAAGCACAGCCUGGUAACCUCGCUUUGCAAUCGUGGAUUCCUGAUCAGAUG